rnacentral:lncRNA from 1 species
AAAGAAGAGGAGAAGCAGAGAAAAAGGAGAAGAGAUGAAGACGCGAUCAGAAACUGAGUGGUUAGAAGGGUCUGCGGUUUAUUUAAAAUGAAAUUGGGCGUCGGUUGCGCCAGAAACCGACGUCUAUAGACGUCAGUGUUUGAUCGGGAUCCGACGUCUAUUCUUCUUAAAGAAGCUGAAAGAUUGACACUUGAUUUCCUGUCAGGGUAGUUCACGUCGGUGUCCCUCCUAGCCGACGUCUAAAACCCUCGAAUUUGGUGAAAAUAAUCAAUUACAGGAACGUAGACGUCGCUUACGUUCAGAACCGACGUCUAAAUUGAAGGAUUUUUGUCUUCCCG